GUCUCUUGCUCCAGCCAGAGCUCGAGGUUAGCUCUUCACUGCCCUGUGUCUUCUUUCCAAGGGUCUCGGUGAUUCGGCCACAGCCUCAGCCUCCAUCACGCGGUGAACUGAUGGUGCUGGAAGAUUCAUAGACUCCAGGACAUUCCUGAAGCCGAGAAAAGGUUAAGUAGGGUCUGGCCUGGAAUACUCUCCUAGAUGAAGAUAGCCCAACCAUGAGCCACCUUCGAAGCAGAUGAGAUGAAAUUAAAGCUCUUCAACUCCUAAAGGCCCAGAGACUAUCACAAAAGAGGUCAGAAAUCCUGAAGGUCACUUUCUGACAAACUCAGGAACCCCAGGUUUAUCUUGGAGCCUCAAGAGGAGAUAAAUUCACCCAACUCAGGCUGGAGUGCAGUGGCGUGAUCUCAGCUCGCUACAACCUCCACCUCCCAGCCACCUGCCUUGGCCUCCCAAAAUGCCCAGAUUGCAGCCUCUGCCCGGCUGCCACCCUGUCUGGGAAGUGAGGAGCGUCUUUGCCUGGCCGUCCAUCAUCUGGGAUGUGAGGAGCCCCUCUGCCCGGCUGCCCAGUCUGGGAAGUGAGGAGCGCCUCUUCCCGGCCGCCAUCCCAUCUAGGAAGUGAGGAGCGUCUCUGCCCAGCCACCCAUCGUCUGAGAUGUGGGGAGCGCCUCUGCCCCGCUGCCCCGUCUGGGAUGUGAGGAGCGCCUCUGCCCGGCCACAACCCCGUCUGGGAUCUGAGGAGUGUCUGUCUCUGCCCGACCGCCACCCCGUCUGGGAGGUGAGGAGCGUCUCUGCCUGGCCGCCCCGUCUGAGAAGUGAGGAGCCCCUCCGCCCGGCAGCCGCCCCGCCUGGGAAGUGAGGAGCGUCUCCGCCCGGCAGCCGCCCCGUCCGGGAGGUGGGGGGCAGCCCCCGCCCAGCCAUCCGCCCCGUCCAGGAGGGAGGUGGGGGGGUGCCUCUGCCCGGCCACCCCGUCUGGGAAGUGAGGAGCCCCUCUGCCCGGCCGCCACCCCGUCUAGGAGGUGUACCCAACAGCUCAUUGAGAACGGGCCAUGAUGACAAUGGCGGUUUUGUCGAAUAGAAAAGGGGGAAAUGUGGGGAAGGAAAGAGAGAUCAGAUUGUUGCUGUGUCUGUGUAGAAAGAAGUAGACAUGGGAGACUCCAUUUUGUUCGGUACUAAGAAAAAUUUUUCUGCCUUGGGAUGCUGUUAAUCUAUAACCUUACCCCCCACCCCCCACCCCGUGCUCUCUGAAACAUGUGCUGUGUCCACUCAGGGUUAAAUGGAUUAAGGGCGGUGCAAGAUGUGCUUUGUGAAACAGAUGCUUGAAGGCAGCAUACUUGUUAAGAGUCAUCACCACUCCCUAAUCUCAAGUACCCAGGGACACAAACACUGUGGAAGGCCGCAGGGUCCCCUGCCUAGGAAAACCACAGACCCUUGUUCACAUGUUUAUCUGCUGACCUUCCCUCCACUGCUGUCCUAUGACCCUGCCAAAUCCCCGUCUCUGAGAAACACCCAAGAAUGAUCAAUAAAUACUAAAAAAAAAAAAAAAAAAAAGUAGUAAAAUAGAGCUCUUGGUAAGUUUUGUGUAGCUUAACAUCAGCAUAAAGUAGGAAAAAAUAUCUUUAAAAAUGUAAACGGACAAAAACCUACACCAAAAAAACAAACAUACACCAAUGCAUACAUAUUGACUGAAGCUCCAGGGAUGUAAAAUAAUUUCUCCUGGGUACACAGCUAGUGACCCAAAUCAAGCUCAAAUAUGUUUGAUUUUAAAAUUGUCAUUUUCUCACUUUUGACAAUAUUGACAUAACAGGUAAAUCUUUGUCUCAGAGUUGAUAGUUGAAAAUAAACUAAGAUAAGUAUUAUUGAAGCUGGCUAGCUAGCCAAGAAGGUCACCAUGUCCUCAGGAUGCAGCAGCCAUGGCGAUUUCCUGGUGAUAGCAUAUUAUCAACACAAUAAACCCCAACAUUUGCAUUGCGUUUCAGCUCAUUCAAGCAAAGCUCUCUAGUAGGGAUAUUCCCCCAUAAAGAGCAUGCACAUUUUGAUUUUACUUGUCCUCUGACCUUUUACUCAUCGUAAUACUAAAAAACACACACGUGAGUGGAGUUUUUGCUAAUGAGAUGCUAAUUAGAUAUGUGACAUAUGCUAAUGAGAUAUGUGACAUAUAAACAAGCAUGUACAGCCACUGUGUAUGUGCACCAAGAGGACCACCCAGAACAUGCUUACUAAUAACACCACUUUCUAACUCUUUGUAAAUAAUUAUGUAAGACUCCGAUAAAUGGAGUCUCUCUAUUUCCAGUCUUUGCUGUCUCAUUCUUAUAAGCAGCCCAUCCUGAAUUGCUUUUCUCUCAGGGGUGUUUUGCACCGCACUUUUAAAAUAGUGUUUCUACUUUGCGAUAAAUCUAUCUAUGCUGCAUCCUCAUUUUUUUGCGUCUCGUUUAAAUUUUUGAAACUAAGAACCGAGGUCUCACAACAGCCUUCAGGACUAUUGUGCUUUGUUUUGUUUUCUUAACAUUAUUUUAUGUGAUAUUUCAUAUUUACAUUUUCAACAUAGCCAAAACUGCUAAAUUAAAAACUUAAAUGAUCAUGCUUUUAAAGUGAUUUGUCUUAAAAGCAUGUAUGUAUAUUUUUCAAGUUUCAGCUUUAUGUAUUCAAAUUUUUUAAAAAUUCUGACACAUAUAUCUAUCAAAUUUAAUAUUUUAAAUAAUUUGAAUUCACUUCCAAAAUGAUUUAUAUUCAUUGUUAUAUUUCAUUUUGACCAAAUUUGGCUUUCCAAGCUAAAGAAAUGCUCUGUAGUAAAAUAAAGGCUCAUGUUUUUAUCAAUAAUAUUUUAUGUCUGAGGACUUAAGCAUCAAGGACAGAAAUCUGGAUGAUGUUGAGUGAAUAUUUAAAUUGAUAAAGUAGAAAUUAUCAGAAUCAAAUAAGGGGUGGAUCCAGAAACAUAGUACUUAAUAAAACCAUUCAGGGUAUGUUUGACAAACAAGAAGAUUGCAUAGGAUCUGCACUGCACUACUAAUGUAAAGCGUUCUCUGUAACUUUAUUCUCCACGUACUCAUACACAAAAUGAAUAAGAUUAACUCCUUUUCCUGGAAGGCAGUGAUUCCUCUUUUAUUCUGUUACAUCUGUUCCACAUUGCUGUGAUAAUGCUGUUGAAGUGCACCCCCUUACACCAGAAGAUCACCUGUGUGAAUGUGAAUAGACUGACACUGGAGAGGACCAGCUCAGCACAGUCACUUGAACUGCCCCUUUGCAUUUCAGGCAGGUAAAAUGCCUUUGAAGAGUGAAAAUAAAGUUACUGCUGAUUAAGCAGAGAGUUUGACUUGCUGAUCAAUUUGAUCAGAAGCCUCUCAAUGAGAUAAUUACUGCAUUUAUUUAUUUCAAGAAAAGUAAAAGCCAAAGCCCAGAAUGUGGCAAGGCAAGAGUUGAAAAGAAAAGAACAAGUUUUUCUUUGCCUAGCAAGCUCACUUCAAGGACAGUUAUAAGAUAAUGCUGUUUGAGAAGUUGAAACCAAAGAAAUAGGCUCCAGACACUCCCCUCCGAAGCAAGGGUGAAGGAAACAAAGAAAAACAAACGUCUGUAUUUAGCCAGUUCUUGUUUUUUCUUUCAAUGCAGCUACAAGGCCACCAGCUAUUAAAGGCCACAAGUUAUGCCAAGAAUUCAGUUAUGCUAUAAAUUACAUAAACUGGUCAUUAUAUAAUUAACUGCCUUUGUUUUGCUUCUGUAAGUUUACUUAUUAAAAUCUCACUCAGUCUUUGUUCAAGGCUCAGCUUUUUGGAUGUGAAUUCACUGAGCCAGAGCAUACCUUAAAAUAAAUAUCCUCCUUUAUUGACUCA
rnacentral:lncRNA from 1 species